rnacentral:rRNA from 1 species
GGUAGCUUGCUACCUGCCGGCGAGUGGCGAACGGGUGAGUAAUACAUCGGAACGUGCCCUGUAGUGGGGGAUAACUAGUCGAAAGACUAGCUAAUACCGCAUACGACCUGAGGGUGAAAGUGGGGGACCGCAAGGCCUCAUGCUAUAGGAGCGGCCGAUGUCUGAUUAGCUAGUUGGUGGGGUAAAGGCCCACCAAGGCGACGAUCAGUAGCUGGUCUGAGAGGACGAUCAGCCACACUGGGACUGAGACACGGCCCAGACUCCUACGGGAGGCAGCAGUGGGACCCCA